rnacentral:misc_RNA from 1 species
CGCACCUUGCGCUCCUUGGUAUUCCGAGGAGCAUGCCUGUUUGAGUGUCGUGAAAUCAUCAACUCCUUGGAGUUGGAAUUGAGGGUCUGUCGGCUCUAACGAGUUGGCUCCCUUUAAAUCGAUCUGAUAGUGAAUGUCUGUCGUCUGACGUGAUAAAUGUCUCGUCUCGCAACAGGUGCUUCCACUUCUUUGACUUUUUGACCUCAAAUCAGGUAGGACUACCCGCUGAACUUAA